GACGGAGGGGGCUAGCGUUGUUCGGAAUGACUGGGCGUAAAGGGUGUGUAGGCGGUUUCUUAAGCAAGGUGUGAAAGCCCUGGGCUCAACCCAGGAAUUGCGCUUUGAACUGAGAAACUAGAGGACGGAAGAGGAAAGUGGAAUUCCUAGUGUAGGAGUGAAAUCCAUAGAUAUUAGGAGGAACACCGAAGGCGAAGGCAGCUUUCUGGUCCGUAUCUGACGCUGAGACACGAAAGCGUGGGGAGCGAAUAGG
rnacentral:rRNA from 1 species